CGUAAGGCGCCGAAUGAGUCAUUAUAAAAUUAACAUCAUCCGAUCCCUAGUCGGCAUAGUUUAUGGUUAAGACUACGACGGUAUCUGAUCGUCUUCGAUCCCCUAACUUUCGUUCUUGAUUAAUGAAAACAUCCUUGGCAAAAUGCUUUCGCAGUAGUUAGUCUUCAAUAAAUCCAAGAAUUUCACCUCUGACAAUUGAAUACUAAUGCCCCCAACUAUCCCUAUUAAUCAUUACGUCAAUCCUAAGAAACCAACAAAUAGGAUCGAACGUCCUAUUUCAUUAUUCCAUGCUAAUGUAUUUCAAGCGUUAGCUUGCUUUAAACAC
rnacentral:rRNA from 1 species